GUACAAGCAGUGGGAGCACCCUUUGGGGUGUGACUGCGUACCUUUUGUAUAAUGGGUCAGCGACUUAUAUUCUGUAGCAAGGUUAACCGUAUAGGGGAGCCGUAGGGAAACCGAGUCUUAACCGGGCGUUAAGUUGCAGGGUAUAGACCCGAAACCCGGUGAUCUAGCCAUGGGCAGGUUGAAGGUUGGGUAACACUAACUGGAGGACCGAACCGACUAAUGUUGAAAAAUUAGCGGAUGACCUGUGGCUGGGGGUGAAAGGCCAAUCAAACCGGGAGAUAGCUGGUUCUCCCCGAAAGCUAUUUAGGUAGCGCCUCGUGAAUUCAUCUCCGGGGGUAGAGCACUGUUUCGGCUAGGGGGCCAUCCCGGCUUACCAACCCGAUGCAAACUGCGAAUACCGGAGAAUGUUAUCACGGGAGACACACGGCGGGUGCUAACGUCCGUCGUGAAGAGGGAAACAACCCAGACCGCCAGCUAAGGUCCCAAAGUCAUGGUUAAGUGGGAAACGAUGUGGGAAGGCCCAGACAGCCAGGAUGUUGGCUUAGAAGCAGCCAUCAUUUAAAGAAAGCGUAAUAGCUCACUGGUCGAGUCGGCCUGCGCGGAAGAUGUAACGGGGCUAAACCAU
rnacentral:rRNA from 1 species